rnacentral:lncRNA from 1 species
GAUUUAUGUUUAAAUAUCGAACAUAUAAAUGUGAACCUGUGAUGUGAAUGGUGUAUGAAUAUAUAGUUGUUGGUUAUUUGUAUGUUCAUUUGGUUGUGGUUGUACCUGGGUUACUUCUUGUACUUGUGUGACGCCGUGCAAAUACAGGGGAGACUCUGUCCGUGUGAACAGUGGAUUCCCUGUGUUUGUGGCGGAUCUGGCAUACUCUGGGGUCAGACUUUUCAAAAAAAAAAAAAAAAAAAUUCAGACGCUUUUCCGCUAUGUUUUAAACUAAAAGGGACCCCGGGGCGUGACAAAUUGCCUUCAUUGCAAUUUAAAAGGUAACUUGGAGUCUGAUGGAGUAAUCACCAUACGGGGUAUAAACACCUUCUCCCCAAUAUUGCUCCCAGAGAUCACUUUUGCUUCUAGUAUGUGUUUUCCUAAUUGAGUGAUCACUAAUCUAGUUCUAUUGCAUAAACCUGAAUACUUGUCUAUAUUUCUCAAAGAACAUAAAGUACCGUUAUUUAAGAUGUAGACGUGAGUGUCGUAUUAUAAAGUUAUCAGAUUGAUAAAUACAAUAUAAUUUGUUUUGGAUAUAACUGUUAAUCUAGUCAUCUAUUUAUAAUAAUAAGCAGCUAACUGAAAAAAAUAUACAAACAUUCAAAAGAUAUAUUUAUAAUUAUGAGCACCUACUUGUCAUCCUCAAGUAGUAUCGUAAUCUUUUUUGCUUUUUACCGUCCUUGCAGCUUUCUUCCAUUCUACUAAUUCCAGAAAGCUUCCCAAUGACAUCUGAUAAAUUAGAAAAAAAAAAUGUAAGAAUCAAUAUAGUAGGUACACAUAUUAAAAAUUAAAUUUUAAAAAUUAAAUAUUUGAUGCAUGUAACAACUUUUACCUAUUAAAUAUUUGUCAUCAGCGACAUUAGCAAGUAUUUCAUCAAAAGAGGUAAAUAUAAAUCCAUACUUUGAUAUUAUCAAAACAUCUUCCAUCUCACCUACAACAGUAGAAUAUUAAAAAUUGAUUUUGUAAGGAUGUAUAGUGGUCCGUAGGAGCCGCUGCUCUGCCCCAUUCCAAACUGGUUGAUCACAAAAACUUUUCCUUCCGUAAAAAGGACUUUAAAUUUAUUCAGGAAAGCUUUUCUUAUCGUUGUAUGUAUCCUAUCUCUCUAAAAUAGAAAAUAAACAAAUUAUGUAGUAUCUUUUAGUAAAAACAAAGCAAACGUAUGUUCAAUUUGAAAAUGAAAGUCGCAUCUUACAUUUUAAUAAGAAAGAACUAACUCUAGGCUAUUCACCAUCUCUGGACGAUGAAAUUCAGGCAUAGUAUACAGACAAAUCACUCUGACUUUGAUCUUCCAUUUGUCUCCAAGAGGAGUGAUGUCACGUAUAGAAUCAUACCCAAGUGCCAUAUCCUGAGAACAAUAAGACAUCCAAGAAAAAAAAUUAAUACUUGCUUCGUAUUUAAAUAAUAAAAUGAAAAUAAUAUGUUCUAUUUUAAAACAUCAACAU